rnacentral:rRNA from 1 species
AUUGAACGCUGGCGGCAGGCCUAACACAUGCAAGUCGAGCGAGCGGCGGACGGUUGAGUAAUGUCUGGGCAACUGCCUGCUGGUGGGGGCUAACUACUGGAUACGGUAGCUAAUACCGCAUACUAUCAGAUGUGCCCAGUUGGGAUUAGCUAGUAGGUGGGGUAACGGCUCACCGAGGCGACGCUCCCUAGCUGGUCUGAGAGGAUGACCAGGCACACUGGAACUGAGACACGUUCCAGAAUCCUACGUGAGGCAGGGGUGGGGAAUAGUGCACAAUGGGCGAGAGCCUUAUGCAGCCAGGCCGCGUGUGUGAAGAGGGCCUGCGGGUUGUAGAGCACUUUCAGCGGGGAGGCGUUACCCGCAGAAGAAGCACCGGCUAACUCCGUGCCAGCAGCCGCGGUAAUUC